UCAAUAAACUUCUCAAUCAAUAAAAAAAACAAGGAACACAUAGUUUUGUGUGUCACUAGCUGUAAUGCUAAUGAUGUGUUUGUCUACAACAGUGUGUGUCUCCAGUAAGUGCUAUUGUGUACUUACUUUAUCCACUUUUUAUAUACCGUAUACACUAACUUUUGCACGCAUACUGUAUCACAUCAAACUUGUCUGCCUCACAUAUUUUUCCCAAAUGUUUAAUGAAGAAAAAAUGAUCCGCUUCGGUACUGCCGGAGCUGCAACACAUCGGCGUAACACAUCCUGUAGCCCAGAGCUAUUCAAAUGCCAGCCGGGGGCCAAAUUCGGAGUUCAGUUCAAAACUUUUGCAGGAAAAAAUUAGCACUAGAGUGCUUCUGUUGUAUGGAGGAACUUUGACCAGUGUAAAUGCAUUGGAAGAUCCUUGCAUUUAAAUGUUAUCCUCCUAAAGGCCAGCAUCCGCUGUAGCGGACCUUUGUAUUUUGCAUUACAGUACUAUUUUCUUGGGAAAUGUGUAAUUUAUAGACAGACUAAAAACAAAUGUCCACUACAGAGGAUACUGGUUCUCAAAAUAAUAAUAAUAAUGAAGUGAGAAGUCCAACCCUUUCUGGAAAUGUGGCCCUAGAACAAUUUAGUCAAAUAACCGUGCUGUAGCUCAUCAGCUUUAUUUGAGGAUGUGGAGCGAAGCCUGUUCUUUUUAUUUUAUUUUAUUUUUUACAAAUGUUUGGGUGUACACACUUAUCAAGCUAGGAGCUGGUCAAAGGCAAUAUCACGUCCAUGAUGAGGAUUGCGUUAUUCCUUCAUGACUUCAUUAAAAACUUACAAAGCUAGUGUUUGAGCAUCUCUUCUCUUGAAAGCAAGAACAUUUUUUCUCAUUUGAUUCUCAUUGACAGGCCCUAGGGACACAUUUUACUUAGAACAUCAUCGGUCAUCUUGAAGUUGCUAAUAGGUUGAUUUUGUUCUUCCUCCACAGCUGACAUCAACAAACUCAGCCAACAGCGGUCAGACGACUGCAGACGACAACAAAGAAAAAGCCUCAGCGGCGAAGGCUCAGGAGCAGGAGGAGGAGAUCGACAUUGACCUGGAGGCGCCUGAGACGGAGAAGGCGGCGCUCGCCAUCCAGAACCAGUUCAGGCGUUUCCAGAAGAAAAAGAAGUAGAGUGACUGUUCCUUUUAAGUGAGAGUGAAAUGAGACAACGGAAAAAAUUUAUAUAAAAAAGAAAAAAAAACAAUAAUGAUGUACAGAAAUGUGGGGGUUUGGGGGAGGGUGGGCGGGGAUGGGAGGGGCAAACUGUUCAGGAGUUAUUGCUCUAAUAUGCAAAAUAUCAUACAGGGACUUUUCGCAUGAGAUUGACUGGAGGAGGUGGGAAGAAAAUUUAGAAUCUAAAGCAUGAUGUCAGCUCACAACCCAUUCCCCCCCACUUUGACCUCCCCCCUCCCCCGCCUCCGUGCACACCAGCUGACAAGUAAACGCACAAUAACAAAAUACAAGCACACUCUUGUCUGCCGGCCUCCCGAACGAAAGCAAAGUCUAGCUGGUGGAGCCUUGUUAUAUUAUUAUCAUAAUGAUUAUUAUUAUUGGAUGUGGUCUAUUGGUGACAAGGUGGUGGUCAUGGAAACUGGCCAGUAGCCACAAGCAGAGGGGAGAGAUCAAUGUGGACAGCGGGCGCUGAUUGGCGUGGAAUGGCGACGGCCGCUCAGUGGUGCCGGCGGAAAGUCAUUCAAAUAUUUAUGCCACUUUAAUGAGUCAUUAGAGCUGCGGUGUCACUUCUAUCGCUCUCAAUGACAAGCAGAAAUGAAUUAUUCUUGCGGUUGGAUUGGAGUCCACAACUUACUUCUUGUCCUCGUCGUUUUUAAUGUACCCCGAGCGGCUAAGAUUCCACCUUCCAUAAGCGAGACACCUUGCGGGUCCAACGCCUGCAACCUCCAGCCGGUGUCCUCUUGCCGUCCUGCAACAUUUAGGCGUUUCUGUCUGAGUCGCCGGGUGUCGCGUUGCUCCUCAAAAUACACGCUUGAUAACGAGGGCCAGCCCUAAACCCUGACCUUGUCGCCUUCAGACGCCCAGAAAUCAGGACAAAAAACAGCGGGACUCCAAUGUGAAGCACACUUCACCACCUUGCCCCCACCCCGCCGACCCCAGCCCUCCUCUGCGACGCAUGUAGCCCACUGAACUGCUUCAUUAACAGCCACAUUUGCUGUAAUAUUAAUCCUGCUAAUUACUAGAAUUAUUAUAGGAAUGUAACCUCUUUUCUAUUUCGAGUGCAGUACACGCCCACCACCCGCUCACACUCCUUCCCGCCACAAUGUAGAGGACAUUUAAUUGGUCCUUUUUAGCAUCUAGCUUUAUUACAGAGCCUGUUUUUCUAUUAGUCAUUUACAGUUUGUUCUUAGUUGUAAUAACAUUUAGUUGAUCUUCGUAUAUGCUUCUUGCUAUGCCAUGUUUUUUGUGUGUGUUGUUUGCCGUUGUUGGAAGUGGGCGGGGCUUAUUUGUCCAGGAGGUGAUGUCACAUGUUGUGUGUGCGCCAAUCAGAUCAUGAGCAAGUGUUGAUGUGCACAAAAACACCACACCAGGUGUACAUUUAAGAACCAAACCUGAGUCUCAUGUUCGCACGUGAUUCCAAACGAUGUAGCAUAUCUCCUGUCUUGUCUCCUCUAUGUCGUCACGGCGAGACGGACUAGAGAUCGUAAUCCCGUGUGGCUUCUGCAAAUAUCAAACCUGCCCAGUUUGAGGGCACCUCACGUUGCCUGGCAACAUGCACCGCCCUUAGGAAGUAUUGUCAAACUUCCAUGUGACGGAGCAGGGUGACCUUCUGCUUAAAGGUCGCAGGUUUGAUCCCCGCAGUCGUGUCGCUUUGGCUCGUCCACGAAAUGCCACUUCGGUGUUUUGAACCAAAUUCUGAAUGAAGCGAGAAUGUUGCAGAGAUGAAAGCUACAUUCUCACGACCAUCUUUGACCUCACAUGUGCUAGCGUUGUGGAGCCAUUUGUUCUGCGGCAGCUCAGUGAAGACCUCUUUUGAAAGGUUUGUCAGCACAAAACAUGAUAAAACUACUGUUAAUGCUCAAAUUGUAACUGGGGUGUGUAUUAACGUAAACCUCAUAAAAGAGGACAGGGCGUUUAUUAACAGACGAUAAUUGUGAAGAGGCUUUAAAGGGGAAGUGCACUUUUGGGGAUUUUUGCACAUCAUUCCCAAUCCUUAUGUAAAACAAAAACAUAAUAUAUGUUUUUAUUUUUUAAUGCAUUCUAAAUUGUAGCUACCAUAUUUUUCGGAGUAUAAGUCGCACCGGAGUAUAAGGCGCACCUGCCAAAAAUGCAUAAUAAAGAAGGAAAAAAACAUAUAUAAGUCGCAUUUUUUGGGGACAUUUAUUCGAUAAAACCCAACACCUUGAAUAGACAUUUGAAAGGCAAUUUAAAAUAAAUAAAGAAUAGUGAACAACAGGCUGAAUAAGUGUACGUUAUAUGACACAUAAAUAACCAACUGAGAACGUGCCUGGUAUGUUAACGUAACAUAUUAUGGUAAGAGUCAUUCAAAUAACUAUAACACAUAGAACAUGCUAUACGUUUACCAAACAAUCUGUCACUCCUAAUCGCUAAAUCCCAUGAAAUCUUAUACGUCUAGUCUCUUACGUGAAUGAGCUAAAUAAUAUUAUUUGAUAUUUUACGGUAAUGUGUUAAUAAUUUCACACAUAAGUCGCUCCUGAGUAUAAGUCGCACCCCCGGCCAAACUAUGAAAAAAACUGUCACUUAUAGUCCGAAUAAUACGAUAAAUGCUUUGAACGUUCACUUAAAACAGAGCCUAUUGGAGUCGCUCCAUUCUGCCUAUAAAAGCCCUUAAAAACAUACAAACACCUUCAUUAAGGUUUUAUAUACACACUGUAAGUAUAUAUUAAAUGUAGUAAAAGGGACGGCGUGGCGCAUUGGAAGAAUGGCCGUGCGCGACCCGAGGGUCCCUGGUUCAAUCCCCACCUAGUACCAACCUCGUCAUGUCCGUUGUGUCCUGAGCAAGACACUUCACCCUUGCUCCUGAUGGGUGCUGGUUAGCGCCUUGCAUGGCAGCUCCCUCCAUCAGUGUGUGAAUGUGUGUGUGAAUGGGUAAAUGUGGAAGUAGUGUCAAAGCGCUUUGAGUACCUUGAAGGUAGAAAAGCGCUAUACAAGUACAACCCAUUUAUUUAAAAGGCACAUUUAUAGAUGUGAUAUUUACGUAUGUUGCUCAUUUUAAGCAUAAGCGGUGCAUUCAUUUCACAAAUGUUGCUUUUUUUCCCCAACACUGAUUUCUACUCACUACAGACUUCAUGAGCGCCAACAUACAUAAUAAAACAUCACUUACUGUGCAAGGUCUGCUGUCAUCAUGAUGCCGACUGAUAGAAUCUUGUUGUAGUAGAUCAGAUGAAAAAUGACUCAUAAUCCUAGCGAAGAAAAAGGGGGAGAAACAAAGCGUCUUUCUGUGUCGUUCGCACCAUUUCCAGGUUUAAAUUGGCGGUCAAAUUGUACCAACUUGUCGGAAUACGUCCUCAUCCUUCUACUAUCCAGGUGAGAGGCAUUAUUUAUGAUGUACAAUAAACUUCCACAAGCAAGGAAGCAAGGUAGCAGCUUAUUACUCGAUGUCUGUAAAGGGCACACAACCUAGUGAUCACGGCGCCGCUAUAAAUAGUGAGUCUGCGUUAGCGCUUAUAAUAACAAUAUCACUAAUACUUAAUAUUUAAGUCACGAAAUGUAAAUAGAGUAUUGUUGGCGCUUUUUAAAUGUUUUUUUAUUGGGUUUUAUGGGCGGAAUAGUGGACCUCCCAUUUGCUCCUUUGUAAGCAGACCUUUAUUUACGAGAUAGAAUGUAUUAAAAAAAAAAAUACAGCCGUCAUGUCUUUCAUAAUGAUUGUGAACGAUAGGCAAUGUUUAAAAAAAAAAAGUGCAUUUCCCCUUUAACUGACUCUUCCUUUCAUUUUUUUCCUUUAUUAAUAGUUUGAAGAGCAUGAGAAAGUGGAAAGGUAAACAAAGUUCAAUUUACUUACAGCCGCAGCUGUUGAUGCCAAUGUUUUUUGACAUACUUCACCUCGUGGAUCCUGGUGUUUAAAAAUAAUCAUUUCAAAACCAGUAAUUGAAUAUAGGCGUUAAUUAGAGCAUUUACAGUAUAUUAAAAAUCAUAACCAGAAAGUGUGUGUGUAUAGAUGUGCUUGCUCACGCUUGUUAAGUGUAUUUCCAAACGACAGCAAAGCCAUAUUUCACACAACCAAAACCUGCUGAUUUUCAUCACCUGUGAAGCUACAACAUACUUUGCAAAGGCAACCUGUGUGUGUGUGUGUGUGUGUGUGUGUGUGUGUGUGUGUGUGUGUGUGUGUGUGUGUGUGUGUGUGUGUGUGUGUGUGUGUGUGUGUGUGCGCCGUCGAGGCACCCUUUGCCUUGUGGCCACUGUUCUUUCAGGGAAGUCUCGGCCAAUCAGGAAGCUCCACCGGGCCCCGUCCCGCCCUGUUAUUUCCUCACAUGUUUUAUUUAUCGCCGGCCUAUGAAAUGCUGUUUCUAUUAUUAAUGUGUGUACACCUGCAUUGUUGUGAAGGCAUGUGACAUUGAUGUGUUUUUAGGCAGCCCUCUCCCCUCACGUGUUAGCAUGUCAAGCUACAACGUGUAGCAGGACACAACGCACAAGAAAUCCCUGUAAUGUAUUUUUUUCUGCACUAAAUAAAAUUUGCUGCAUUUAGCUUUGAACUUUA